UACGGAGGGGGCUAGCGUUGUUCGGAAUUACUGGGCGUAAAGCGCACGUAGGCGGCGAUCUAAGUCAGAGGUGAAAGCCCGGGGCUCAACCCCGGAAUAGCCUUUGAGACUGGAUUGCUAGAAUCUUGGAGAGGCGGGUGGAAUUCCGAGUGUAGAGGUGAAAUUCGUAGAUAUUCGGAAGAACACCAGUGGCGAAGGCGGCUCACUGGACCGUUGUUGACGCUGAGGUGCGAAAGCGUGGGGAGCAAACAGG
rnacentral:rRNA from 1 species